CCUACGGGUGGCAGCAGUCGAGAAUCAUUCACAAUGGGGGAAACCCUGUUGGUGCGACGCCGCGUGGGGGAAUGAAGGUCUUCGGAUUGUAAACCCCUGUCAUGUGGGAGCAAAUUAAAAAGAUAGUACCACAAGAGGAAGAGACGGCUAACUCUGUGCCAGCAGCCGCGGUAAUACAGAGGUCUCAAGCGUUGUUCGGAAUCACUGGGCGUAAAGCGUGCGUAGGCUGUUUCGUAAGUCGUGUGUGAAAGGCGGGGGCUCAACCCGCGGACGGCACAUGAUACUGCGAGACUAGAGUAAUGGAGGGGGAACCGGAAUUCUCGGUGUAGCAGUGAAAUGCGUAGAUAUCGAGAGGAACACUCGUGGCGAAGGCGGGUUCCUGGACAUUAACUGACGCUGAGGCACGAAGGCCAGGGGAGCGAAAGGGAUUAGAUACCCCUGUAGUC
rnacentral:rRNA from 1 species